rnacentral:lncRNA from 1 species
CUCCCAAAGUGCUGGGAUUACAGGCGUGAGCCACCAUGCCAGGCCAAGAAAUACAUUUUUAGUCAGGGCGCAGCAGCUCAUACCUGUAAUCUCAGCACUUUGGGAGGCCAAGUGUGGCGGAUCGCCUGAGGUCAGGUGUUCAAGACCAGCCUGGCCAACAUGGCGAAAACCUGUCUCUACCAAAAAUACAAAAAUUAACCAGGUAUGGUGGCAGAUGCCUGUAAUCCCAGCUACUCAGGAGGCUGAGGCAGGAGAAUCACUUGAACCCAGGAGGCAGAGGUUCCAGUGAGCCAAGAUCGUGCCACUGCACUCCAGCCUGGGUGACAGAGUGGGACUCCAUAUCAAAAAAAAAAAAAAAAAGAAAUACAUUUUUAUUUCAGAAAUCCUUUCUAAGAUGUAAGUAACGGACCAAUGAAAACUCUUCUCAUUUUUUUCUUAUGUAGGAUUGAACAGAACAAAUUGUUCACACUUUGUGCUUCAUCCUUAUAAUACAGCUUCUGCCUCCUCAGCAAGUGACUAACAGUACAUGUCUAAAGACCUUAAAAAGUAUCGAAAUUAUCUUAACCAUGGAAAUAUCCAGCUGCAAAUACAUGCCAAAUUCCUUAUCUGUAAUUUUUGUAACUGAACAAACAAGCCCCUGUAUUACAGCAUGAAGAAGUUUUUGAAACUGAAAUGUACUGCUCACUUCACAAUCAUGUUCUGUCUAUCCUUGCUAUUUAGCUUGGGGAAGGUUAUCAAGUUCUGAGGAGAGGAGAAAGGAGAAAAGGAAGGGAGCCAGAAAGAAAGGGUGGGACCAAGAAGCCAAGGAACUUAAGACGAGUUAAGAACAGGUAGAAAGGCCAGGCACGGUGGCUCACGCCUGUAAUCCCAGCACUUCGGGAGAUCAAGGUGGGCGGAUCACCUGAGGUCGGGAGUUUGACACCAGACUGACCAACAUGGAGAAACCCCAUCUCUACUAAAAAUACAAAAUUAGCCGGGCGUGGUGGCACAUGCCUGUAAUCCCAGCUACUGGGGAGGCUGAGGCAGGAGAAUCGCUUGAACCCGGGAGGUGGAGGUUGCGGUGAGCGAGAUGGCACCAUUGCACUCCAGCCUGGGCGACAAGAGCUAAACUCCGUCUCAAAAAGAAAAGAGAAUGGGUAGAAAGACAGAAUGCUAAAACUGUCAGCAGUCCCCCAGAUGGAAGACAGGAGAGAAAUAAUUUAAAACAACAGAAAGCCUUUUCUUUGUGGUCCAGAGAGAGGAAGAGGAGAUCUGGAUAAAACUGCUGAAAAAUUUGGGGGCGGGGGUGAGGUGAAGAACCUAACAGUAAGUCUUGGAAGAUGAAAUACAACUCUGUUGAUUACUGAAGGAUGAACCAAAUAACAGGACUGGGCCCACACAAUAAAGAAGAAAAGAGGGCGGCUGGUUGUGGAGUUAAAGCAGAGAGAAGAAAAAGAAACAGCUACAGAAAUUCCCCAAGGUGCAGGGUACAGGGCUGGGGAAGGUGCGAAUGUUUGGGAAUAAAAACAAACUUUGAAAAACAACAAAAAACAAGUCUUUUCAAAGCCUGGCCUCAGACUUAGGGUAAGUUCUCCCUGAGAGAUUUAAAGGUAAAUAAAGAAGAAGCAAGUUAAGACUGAAAGCUUUGACUGAUCUAACAGGAACAUGUGGCAUUAUGGUUGUAAUGCCACAAAUUUAGUAUUUAGUAUUUUGUGAAGUAUUCACAAAGAAAUGAACAGGAUGCUGCAUAAUUUUUUACAUUGUUUUCCAGGGGCAUGUUGAUGAGAAAUGCUACUCCCUCCAUUUUGUCCCCAGCAUGUGUAUGAUGAAUAAGAAGAGGUGGGGGCGGGGGAGAGAGAUUCUUCCCAUCCACCAAAUGCUACCCUGAUUACCCACGUCAGUCCUAACUCCUGCAUUGCCCCAGGUGCCAGUCAGCAAGGCCUACGCCAUUUGCUUUGCCAUCUCCGCAUUGUCCACUCACUUG